rnacentral:misc_RNA from 1 species
GUUAUUUGUAUAGUUUGUUGACAUCCGAGACUGGUUGUGGUAUGUUGAAGCGGAAGCGACCCACGGGUGGACCGCAACCGAGUUGUGCACAGGUGUGAGAAGGUUCGACAGCGUGCAGCCGAGGCGCACAGCUGAAGAGGUUUGGCACAGAGGCCAGAAUCUUUAAUGAUCCUUCCGCAGGUUCACCUACGGAAA